CAGUAGCCGCGGGAAUACGAAGGGUGCAAGCGUUAAUCGGAAUUACUGGGCGUAAAGCGUGCGUACGCGGUUUGUUAAGUCUGUUGUGAAAUCCCCGGGCUCAACCUGGGAAUGGCAAUGGAUACUGGCAAGCUAGAGUGUGUCAGAGGAUGGUGGAAUUCCCGGUGUAGCGGCGAAAUGCGUAGAGAUGUGGAGGAAUACCGAUGGCGAAGGCAGCCCCCUGGGCCAAUACUGACGCUCAUGCACGAAAGCGUGGGGAGCAAACAGGAUUAGAUACCCCCGUAGUCCCUGUCUCUUAUAC
rnacentral:rRNA from 1 species